AGAGUUUGAUCCUGGCUCAGGACGAACGCUGGCGGCACGCUUAACACAUGCAAGUCGAACGAGAGAAGAGAAGCUUGCUUUUCUGAUCUAGUGGCGGACGGGUGAGUAACACGUGAGCAAUCUGCCUUUCAGAGGGGGAUACCGAUUGGAAACGAUCGUUAAUACCGCAUAACAUAAUUGAACCGCAUGAUUUGAUUAUCAAAGAUUUAUCGCUGAAAGAUGAGCUCGCGUCUGAUUAGCUAGUUGGUAAGGUAACGGCUUACCAAGGCGACGAUCAGUAGCCGGACUGAGAGGUUGAUCGGCCACAUUGGGACUGAGACACGGCCCAGACUCCUACGGGAGGCAGCAGUGGGGAAUAUUGCACAAUGGAGGAAACUCUGAUGCAGCGAUGCCGCGUGAGGGAAGAAGGUUUUAGGAUUGUAAACCUCUGUCUUCAGGGACGAAAAAAGACGGUACCUGAGGAGGAAGCUCCGGCUAACUACGUGCCAGCAGCCGCGGUAAUACGUAGGGAGCGAGCGUUGUCCGGAAUUACUGGGUGUAAAGGGAGCGUAGGCGGGAUCGCAAGUCAGAUGUGAAAACUAUGGGCUUAACCCAUAAACUGCAUUUGAAACUGUGGUUCUUGAGUGAAGUAGAGGUAAGCGGAAUUCCUAGUGUAGCGGUGAAAUGCGUAGAUAUUAGGAGGAACAUCAGUGGCGAAGGCGGCUUACUGGGCUUUAACUGACGCUGAGGCUCGAAAGCGUGGGGAGCAAACAGGAUUAGAUACCCUGGUAGUCCACGCC
rnacentral:rRNA from 1 species